rnacentral:rRNA from 1 species
AUACGGAGGAUGCGAGCGUUAUCCGGAUUUAUUGGGUUUAAAGGGUGCGCAGGCGGCAUGUCAAGUCAGCGGUCAAAGUUCCGGGCUCAACCCGGUGAUGCCGUUGAAACUGGCGCGCUUGAGUUCGUGGGAGGAAGGCGGAAUGCGCGGUGUAGCGGUGAAAUGCAUAGAUAUCACGCAGAACCCCGAUUGCGAAGGCAGCCUUCCAUCACGCCACUGACGCUGAGGCACGAAAGCGUGGGUAUCGAACAGGAUUAGAUACCCUGGUAGUCCACGCAGUAAACGAUGAUAACUAGUUUUCCGGUGCGAUUGAGUACUGGGAGACCGAGCGAAAGCGUUAAGUUAUCCACCUGGGGAGUACGCCGGCAACGGUGAAACUCAAAUGAAUUGACGGGG